rnacentral:rRNA from 1 species
GACGAACGCUGGCGGCGUGCCUAAUACAUGCAAGUCGAACGCACUCUCGUUUAGAUUGAAGGAGCUUGCUCCUGAUUGAUAAACAUUUGAGUGAGUGGCGGACGGGUGAGUAACACGUGGGUAACCUGCCCUAAAGUGGGGGAUAACAUUUGGAAACAGAUGCUAAUACCGCAUAAAACCUAACACCGCAUGGUGUAGGGUUGAAAGAUGGUUUCGGCUAUCACUUUAGGAUGGACCCGCGGUGCAUUAGUUAGUUGGUGAGGUAAAGGCUCACCAAGACCGUGAUGCAUAGCCGACCUGAGAGGGUAAUCGGCCACACUGGGACUGAGACACGGCCCAGACUCCUACGGGAGGCAGCAGUAGGGAAUCUUCCACAAUGGACGAAAGUCUGAUGGAGCAACGCCGCGUGAGUGAAGAAGGUUUUCGGAUCGUAAAACUCUAGUUGUUGGAGAAGAAUGUAUCUGAUAGUAACUGAUCAGGUAGUG